UGGGGAGUAGCCAAGUGGCAAGGCAGCGGCCUUUGGCGCCGCGAUCGGGGGUUCGAAUCCCUCCUCCCCAGCCA
rnacentral:tRNA from 2 species